rnacentral:rRNA from 2 species
UUUGAAAGAGAGUUAAAGAGUACCUGAAACUGCUGAAAGGGAACCGAAUCGUUUCCAGUGUCUAUAAUCCGUGGCAUAUUUCAUUGGCGAGUGUGCGCGUGCGUGUGCUGUGGCAGUGGCUUUUUUGGCUGCGCUCGGUGCGUGUGCUGUGUGUGCUUGCUGGUGCCCUGUGCUGCGGUGGGACGUCAAGGUCAGUUCGUAUGCUGCGGGAAAUGGCUGCCGAGGAGGUAGGGCUUACGCUCCGCGUUUGUCUGUUAUAUCUUGGUGGACGAGUCGUCGUGGUUGGGACUGAGGUGCCUACAACGUGCUUUUGAGUGGGUUCGUGUCUCCGUGUGCGCCGUGUGCGGAUAGCUUGCUAUGCGUGUGUGGUUGUGCGUGGAUUGGU